CAAUAGCGUAUAUUUAAGUUGUUGCAGUUAAAAAGCUCGUAGUUGGAUUUCGGGUGGGACGCAGCGGUCUCGCAUUGCGUUUGUACUGCUGCAGCCCUCCUUCUUGCCGGGGGCGGCCUCUCGGACUUCACUGUCUGGGGGUCAGAAUCGGCGAUGUUACUUUGAGUAAAUUAGAGUGUUCAAAGCAAGCUUACGCUCUGAAUAUAAUAGCAUGGGAUAACACGACAGGACUCUGGCCUAUCGUGUUGGUCUAUAGGACCAGAGUAAUGAUAAAGAGGGACAGUCGGGGGCAUUCGUAUUCCGUUGUCAGAGGUGAAAUUCUUGGAUUUACGGAAGACGAACAUCUGCGAAAGCAUUUGCCAAGGAUGUUUUCAUUGA
rnacentral:rRNA from 1 species